UCCAGGGUAGCCUAGUGGACAUGGCAUCUGCCCGGUAAGCGGAACACUGUGGGUUCGAUUCCCAUCCUUGGAC